rnacentral:rRNA from 1 species
AAUCAACGCUGGCGGCGUGCCUAACACAUGCAAGUCGAACGCGAAAGGGGCUUCGGCCCUGAGUAGAGUGGCGUCCGGGUGAGUAACGCGUGGAUAAUCUGCCUCCGGGUGGGGAAUAACUCAGGGAAACUUGAGCUAAUACCGCAUAAUGCAGCGGCUCGACAUCGAGACAGUUGGUAAAGCAGCAAUGCGCCUGGAGAGGAGUCCGAGUCCGAUUAGCUAGUUGGCAGGGUAAUGGCCUACCAAGGCGACGAUCGGUAGCUGGUCUUAGAGGACGAUCAGCCACACUGGAACUGAGACACGGUCCAGACCCCUACGGGAGGCAGCAGUGGGGAAUAUUGGACAAUGGGGGCAACCCUGAUCCAGCCAUGCCGCGUGAGUGAAGAAGGCCUUCGGGUUGUAAAGCUCUUUGAGCGGGGAGGAAGGUUCGUUGUUUAAUAAACAACGGAAUUGACGUUACCUGCAGAACAAGCACCGGCUAACUCUGUGCCAGCAGCCGCGGUAACAC